rnacentral:tRNA from 1 species
CCCGUCGUAGCUCAACGGUAGAGCGCCCGGCUGUAGACCGGGAGGUUGGGGGUUCAAAUCCCUCCGACGGGA